rnacentral:misc_RNA from 1 species
AAUCAAAAUGUAACUAUGAGCAAGCAUGGAAAAAAGUUAAUGGUACACUUGGAUUAUAGGAAUUUAAGAUCUGGAUCUAAAUGCCCAAAUCUAUUGUUUGAGUUUGUUGAAAAACUGUGAAUUCGGAUUAUUGAAAUCCAUCAGUAAGACCUUAUAUUUCACUGAAAUUUAAAUCUUCUCUUUUUAACGUCAAAUACUCAACUCCAUAAGCAAAUAUUAAACUAUUCCUCUAUAGCUGACCAGUUCUGGUGAAAACCUGCUAGUAGACCUGAGUGACAUCCCACGAUACAAUGUGGUAGCUUCAGCGAUCAGCAAGUUCUAUAAGCUGCUCAACCACACUUG